UACGUAGGGGGCUAGCGUUGUCCGGAAUCAUUGGGCGUAAAGCGCGCGUAGGCGGCCCGGUAAGUCCGUUGUGAAAGUCAAAGGCUCAACCUUUGAAAGCCGAUGGAUACUGCCGGGCUGGAGUCCGGAAGAGGCGAGUGGAAUUCCUGGUGUAGCGGUGGAAAUGCGCAGAUAUCAGGAGGAACACCAAUAGCGAAGGCAGCUCGCUGGGACGGUACUGACGCUGAGGCGCGAAAGCGUGGGGAGCGAACAGG
rnacentral:rRNA from 1 species